rnacentral:rRNA from 1 species
UACGUAGGUGGCAAGCGUUGUCCGGAUUUACUGGGCGUAAAGAGCGUGUAGGCGGCCAUACAGGUCCGUUGUGAAAACUGGAGGCUUAACCUCCAGACGUCGAUGGAAACCGUAUGGCUAGAGUCCGGAAGAGGAGAGUGGAAUUCCUGGUGUAGCGGUGAAAUGCGCAGAUAUCAGGAGGAACACCGGUGGCGAAGGCGGUUCUCUGGGCCUGUACUGACGCUGAGGAACGAAAGCUAGGGGAGCAAACGGG